rnacentral:misc_RNA from 1 species
AAAAUAAUCAAACUAAUUUAAAUAUAAGAAACAUGUCAAUCUUCGACCAAUACAAGAGAAAGCUACUAGCUAAUCCUAACUACAUGGUACAGGAAGAAAUUUGUGCAAAGAAACAGAAAGCAAUGGAAAACAAUUACAAGUGUCCUAUUCUAAUUCAAAACAUUUAAGAAGUGGGCAGAAAGGUAUUGAAGCAAGAAUUUUGUAGAUUUACUAAGUCGCUUUCUAGGACUUAAAACUCAUCACAAUUUAAAUAAAAAUAUGAACAACUUGUAAGGUGUAUGAAAAUCAAGUAAAAAAACAAGCAUGAUGGUUUAAGCAAAAGAUCCAAAUAUCACUCGAUUACAAGUGCAAGAAAAG